rnacentral:tRNA from 1 species
GUCCUUGUCGAUUAGUGGUUAAAUCAUCUCGUUGUGGUACAUUCUCCGCUCCGAGAAGCCGGAAGUUCGAAUCCUCCCUGGGACA